UUUUUUUUAAUUCUCUACAAUUUUAGAUGUAUUUUGAUUAUCCGAUUCGAACUGUCGGCGUGUUGUAUCCGUGAUUUCCUCAAUUUUCUCCGUCCCCACCACUUCCUUUCCCCUCACAAACUUCCAUUUUCCGCUAUCAGCGCAGCUCUACUAGCCUACAUUCUACUCUAUUCUUAUCAAGCCCCACCGUCAUCACUCCUUUUUUUGGGCCAGAAAGAGUUCAAAUCCAGUUUCUCAUUUCUUGAGCAAUUUUUGGGAGCUGGGUUCCGGAAGCUUGUUGCAAUUGAGGGAUGCUGUGCAGCAGAAAAAUGCUGAAUUUCUUGAUUAGGAAAGAUGUGAGGAAGAUUCUCAAGCGCAAGGACAGUGAUGCUGGUGAAAAGGGAAAAGCUAUGGAAGAGCUGCGGGCUUCUCUGUUUAAUGAGUUGCGGUCAUCUGAAGGUGCAAAGCGUCAGCAGCAACGCAUAUGUGGCCCCAGUGUUGCUCUUACAUUCAAUUUCUUGGUUUCUGUUGGUAUUAUCUUGAUGAACAAAUUGGUGCUUGGUAGAGUCGGAUUCAAUUAUCCCAUUUUUCUCACUUUCAUUCAUUAUACUUUGAGCUGGCUGUUAAUGGCUAUUCUCAAUGCUUUGUCUAUGCUACCUGCGGCUCCUCCCUCAAAGUCGACUCCUUUCUCUUCCUUACUGUCUCUUGGCAUCGUAAUGUCUCUCUCUAACGGCCUUGCUAAUGUUAGCUUAAAGUAUAAUAGUGUGGGUUUUUAUCAGAUGGCUAAGAUAGCUGUAACACCGACAAUCGUACUAGCAGAAUUCAUUUUGUUUGCGAAGAGAGUUUCUUGCCAGAAGGUGCUUGCACUUACUGUUGUAUCCAUUGGUGUUGCUGUGGCCACGGUCACCGAUCUGCAAUUCCACUUCUUUGGUGCUUGUAUAGCAUUGGCAUGGAUAAUACCAAGUGCAGUCAACAAGAUCCUGUGGUCCAAUUUGCAACAGCAGGAGAACUGGACUGCCCUGGCGCUAAUGUGGAAGACCACGCCGAUCACUUUGUUUUUCCUUGUGACGUUGAUGCCUUGGCUUGAUCCCCCAGGCAUCCUCUCUUUUGGUUGGAACUUGAAUAACACAUUGGCAAUUCUCAUGUCAGCUGUCCUUGGCUUCUUGCUUCAGUGGUCAGGUGCUUUAGCACUUGGGGCAACUUCUGCCACAACACAUGUUGUUCUCGGGCAGUUCAAAACAUGUGUCAUUCUUCUAGGUGGUUUCUUUCUCUUUGGUUCUAACCCAGGCACAAUUAGUAUCUGUGGAGCAACCACAGCCCUUGCUGGAAUGUCAGUCUACACGUAUCUCAAUUUGCUCAAACCGCAGCAGUUACCAAACAAAACAUCUCCCAGACAAAAUUCCUUCACGUUAUCAAAAUCCAAGUUGAGCAAAGAAAACGGCGACACCCAUGAUGGGGACAACAUGGAAACGGUCUAACAGAAGACACACAUCUAACCUGGAGAGAAAAAAAAAGUUGGGUGACACGAGAUGGCAAUCCUUUUACUAACAUGGAAACCAGGAGCCUGUUGAUGAAACUUAGGACACAACAAUGGUGGAUUUCCCGGCUAACGGCAAUGGGAAAACAGCAUGGAGGACCUCACACUGGUAAAUAAAACUCGAAUAUCAGUAGAGUGAUUUAUUUGCUUUGAUUUAACAGUUCCUGUUAGCUUAUAUGAGAAAGUUUCAUUAGGAGACAUGGCAGAUGAAAUCAAAAUCAGAGCUUCUGCUGUAACAAUCUCAUCCAAUUUUGCUGGCUGGGAGUUCUGUAAAUAAGAUUAUAUCUCUAUUGCUCGUUAGUUUUUCA